rnacentral:lncRNA from 1 species
GCUUCAUAAACGAUGUCACAGCUUCAUUCUUCUGCUUAAAAUUGUUAAAACUUCUUAACAAUAAGUCAAUGAUAAGGGCCUGAUACAUUCAAGAUCACCUAAAAGGCUAAACCCAGAAGCCUGACCUAAGCUACUAAGGACCUGAUACGACCAAUAGCGACCAUAGUUGAACAUGACAGAUGCCACUCACCUCAAAAAAUAUGGUUUAAGAGAUCAUAAGUACACCAAAUAGCAAAAGAAAUAACGGGAAAUACAGAAAGAAGGCUUUGAGA